rnacentral:rRNA from 1 species
GGGCCCGCACAAGCGGUGGAGUAUGUGGCUUAAUUCGAUGCAACGCGAGGAACCUUACCUGGGCUAAAUCCACAGUGAUGUCUUCUGGAAACAGGAGGUCCCUUAGGGGCACUAUGGAAGGUGCUGCAUGGCUGUCGUCAGCUCGUGCCGUGAGUGUUGGGUUAAGUCCCGCAACGAGCGCAACCCCUGUGGUUAGUUACCAGCACGUAAUGGUGGGGACUCUAGCCAGACUGCCUACGCAAGUAGUGAGGAAGGUGGGGACGACGUCAAGUCAUCAUGGCCCUUACGUCCAGGGCUGCACACGUGCUACAAUGUCGGUAAAUGGGGUCCCACCCCAGCGAUGGG